rnacentral:rRNA from 1 species
AGUGAACGCUGGCGGUAGGCCUAACACAUGCAAGUCGAGCGGCAGCACAGUAAGAGCUUGCUCUUACGGGUGGCGAGUGGCGGACGGGUGAGGAAUACAUCGGAAUCUACUUUUUCGUGGGGGAUAACGUAGGGAAACUUACGCUAAUACCGCAUACGACCUACGGGUGAAAGCAGGGGAUCCUCGGACCUUGCGCGAUUGAAUGAGCCGAUGUCGGAUUAGCUAGUUGGCGGGGUAAAGGCCCACCAAGGCGACGAUCCGUAGCUGGUCUGAGAGGAUGAUCAGCCACACUGGAACUGAGACACGGUCCAGACUCCUACGGGAGGCAGCAGUGGGGAAUAUUGGACAAUGGGCGCAAGCCUGAUCCAGCCAUACCGCGUGGGUGAAGAAGGCCUUCGGGUUGUAAAGCCCUUUUGUUGGGAAAGAAAAGCAGCAGGUUAAUACCCCGCUGUUCUGACGGUACCCAAAGAAUAAGCACCGGCUAACUUCGUG